UUCACAGUAUGUUUAUUGGAUGGUAGCAUUCACCCAGCUGCCUGCUUGCUGGUUACAUAUGUAUCAGUUUUAAAAGACUAUGUUCUGAGGCUUUUUUGAGAGCCUUCCUGGAAUAAGAUGCAAUCUCUGAAAUGAGUAAUCUGAUCUGAGCAGGCGUAACGUGGGACUACAGGAAGCAGAGAAUGAAAAGCAUCUCGCAAGUUGUCUGAAGCAUCUGCUGCCAAUGACUCAACAACAGCAUGGCGAUAUAUAUAAUCACAUCCAUGAUGUGAUGUCAUUUUUGCGUUUUGUAUUACAAAAUAGAAAAUAACUGAUCGAGCAAAGCUAUGCAUACACACUACGCCCUCUCCAGUGAGCUGCCAGCGGUCACACGGACCUCCGUAUGAACAUAUUAAAGAGGUAAGAACAAAUCUAGACACAGAUAUGAGUGAUGUAAUCUUUCGGAGAGCCCUUCUUUGCCCAGCAUGAGUCACUUUUCUCAUCGGCCUACUCCUUCCACCGGAAAGCGUUGCUAUGGCAACCACAGCCUUAUCAGGAUAGCCUGUGUGACUAACCGCUUCCUGUUUACAACAUUAUGAUUGCUUUCCACGUUCAGCUCUGCAGACCUCCAGCAAAGUAGCACGCACAUGUAGCCUAUACACACUCACACACAAUGCACACACGCACACUUAUGCUAGAGUGUCAGGCAACGAGGCCAGGGGUCUUUUCCACAGAGCAUGAAAAAUAAACUGCAACGUCCUGCUACAUACUUAACCAUAUGAAGCCCUUCUCCAGCUAAUGGACCUGGUUUUAUUUACUCACUCGACACAAAAACCACAGGCCAGUGUGUGAUUUAAGGUGAUUGGAAAGCAUGCGCCACAUUUCAGCCUGGCUGGCUCCAGCCGCUGAGUGGGCAAGCACUAAAUCGCAGCGUCACCUCCACUCUAGGGCGCUGAAAGACAGAGCAGAGUGAAAUACUCCUCUCCUAGGGAGGAGUGCAGGGAGAAUAUAUGACUAUUGGCAGAUCACGACACCCU
ensembl:lncRNA